ensembl:lncRNA
AUAGCCUUAUAUUUUGUUUUGUUUCACUCUUUAAAAAAAACUCUGACCUUAGUCUGUGUCACUCCUGACUGGAUUUUCGUUGAGAAAGGAUUCUCCACACCUUCAAACACACCAUCUCUACAUUAUGAGUGAAUGUCAGUUUUUCUUAUCUCCUUUACUGGAGGGGCUGGAUUUGGAUCUGAACACUCGCUAUCAGCUUGUGCAUCUCACUGCCGACAUCACUAUUCUGAUCAAAGUUCUUCGCACCCCCUCUGGGAAUGCAGGGUUCCCCCCACCUCUCAGAUAUAGAAUCCACCCAGAAAAUGUGUGGGUGGAUGCCUCUACACAGACUUCAAUUUCAGUCCAUAGAGGCCACUAAGUCCCUGUCACAACUGGACUACAGCAACUCGCUCUUGGCAGGUGUGCACCUGUGUGCCAUCCAACCUCUGCAACUGAUCUAGAAGGCAGCUGUUAGACUUGUUUUCAGUCUCACUUAUCUGUAGGCCACUGUGUCAAAGCUCCAAGGAUACCUCACAAACCCACAAUCCAAUGUAACCAAGCAUCAACAACUGUGAUUUGAAAAACAUUUGACCUGUGGGAUAAUGUUAACAUGCAGAAAUCUAAAUAUUUAAGUCUCUGGGUAGAUAAACGCGUGGUGAAAAUGAACACCCUCACCUCAGAUGUGUUCAGUUUGUGGAUGUCAUGAUGCUGUGGCACCUUCACUGAAUAGUUGUCAUCAUACUUAGUCUUAUCAGUUUGUUGUAGGUAAGAAAGCAUAUUUGCA